UAACUGGAGAGUUUGAUCCUGGCUCAGAGUAAACGCUGGCGGCGUGCCUAACACAUGCAAGUCGAACGCGUUCCGGGGGGCAACUCCCGGGAUGAGUGGCGAACGGGUGAGUAA
rnacentral:ncRNA from 1 species